UACGUAGGGUGCAAGCGUUGUCCGGAAUUAUUGGGCGUAAAGAGCUCGUAGGCGGUCUGUCACGUCGGCUGUGAAAUCCCGAGGCUCAACCUCGGGUCUGCAGUCGAUACGGGCAAACUAGAGUAUUGCAGGGGAGACUGGAAUUCCUGGUGUAGCGGUGAAAUGCGCAGAUAUCAGGAGGAACACCGGUGGCGAAGGCAGCUCUCUGGCCUAUAACUGACGCUGAGGUGCGAAAGCGUGGGGAGCAAACGGG
rnacentral:rRNA from 1 species